rnacentral:rRNA from 1 species
CUGAAGCAACAAAUGCCCUGCUUCCAGGAAAAGCCUCUAAGCAUCAGGUAACAUCAAAUCGUACCCCAAACCGACACAGGUGGUCAGGUAGAGAAUACCAAGGCGCUUGAGAGAACUCGGGUGAAGGAACUAGGCAAAAUGGUGCCGUAACUUCGGGAGAAGGCACGCUGAUAUGUAGGUGAAGCGACUUGCUCGUGGAGCUGAAAUCAGCCGAAGAUACCAGCUGGCUGCAACUGUUUAUUAAAAACACAGCACUGUGCAAACACGAAAGUGGACGUAUACGGUGUGACGCCUGCCCGGUGCCGGAAGGUUAAUUGAUGGGGUUAGCGCAAGCGAAGCUCUUGAUCGAAGCCCCGGUAAACGGCGGCCGUAACAAUAACGGUCCUAAGGUAGCGAAAUUCCUUGUCGGGUAAGUUCCGACCUGCACGAAUGGCGUAAUGAUGGCCAGGCUGUCUCCACCCGAGACUCAGUGAAAUUGAACUCGCUGUGAAGAUGCAGUGUACCCGCGGCAAGACGGAAAGACCCCGUGAACCUUUACUAUAGCUUGACACUGAACAUUGAGCCUUGAUGUGUAGGAUAGGUGGGAGGCUUAGAAGUGUGGACGCCAGUCUGCAUGGAGCCGACCUUGAAAUACCACCCUUUAAUGUUUGAUGUUCUAACGUUGACCCGUAAUCCGGGUUGCGGACAGUGUCUGGUGGGUAGUUUGACUGGGGCGGUCUCCUCCUAAAGAGUAACGGAGGAGCACGAAGGUUGGCUAAUCCUGGUCGGACAUCAGGAGGUUAGUGCAAUGGCAUAAGCCAGCUUGACUGCGAGCGUGACGGCGCGAGCAGGUGCGAAAGCAGGUCAUAGUGAUCCGGUGGUUCUGAAUGGAAGGGCCAUCGCUCAACGGAUAAAAGGUACUCCGGGGAUAACAGGCUGAUACCGCCCAAGAGUUCAUAUCGACGGCGGUGUUUGGCACCUCGAUGUCGGCUCAUCACAUCCUGGGGCUGAAGUAGGUCCCAAGGGUAUGGCUGUUCGCCAUUUAAAGUGGUACGCGAGCUGGGUUUAGAACGUCGUGAGACAGUUCGGUCCCUAUCUGCCGUGGGCGCUGGAGAACUGAGGGGGGCUGCUCCUAGUACGAGAGGACCGGAGUGGACGCAUCACUGGUGCUCGGGUUGUCAUGCCAAUGGCACUGCCCGGUAGCUAAAUGCGGAAGAGAUAAGUGCUGAAAGCAUCUAAGCACGAAACUUGCCCCGAGAUGAGUUCUCCCUGACCCUUUAAGGGUCCUGAAGGAACGUUGAAGACGACGACGUUGAUAGGCCGGGUGUGUAAGCGCAGCGAUGCGUUGAGCUAACCGGUACUAAUGAACCGUGAGGCUUAACCUU